UACGUAGGGGGCGAGCGUUGUCCGGAGUUACUGGGCGUAAAGCGCACGCAGGCGGUCUGCUAAGUUUGGAGUGACAGUUGGUGGCUUAACUGCCAAAGUGCUUCGAAAACUGACAGACUUGAGGGCUUCAGAGGGACACGAAUUCCGGGUGGAGUGGUGAAAUGCGUAGAGAUCCGGAGGAACACCAAAGGCGAAGGCAGUGUCCUGGGGAGUACCUGACGCUCGAGGUGCGAAAGCCAGGGGAGCGAACGG
rnacentral:rRNA from 1 species